GCCCUAUUCUGCAUUUCUACUCGAAUCGAAAUUUUCUCCGAUUGGCAACUUUGGUAUUCUGCGUUUCGAUUCAACUUCGAAAAUUCCAAUUCUAUGUAUUCUGCAUUGCGAUCGUAAUUACGUUUUUGUACGUUGAAGUUUUGUCGGCGGAAAGCCGUUAUAUAUUCAUUUUCGUGCACUUGGAUAAAAUAAUUUCCUCAAAUAUGUCAAAAGUAACAACGGCAGAGCAAUACGAAAAAUUGUGUGAUAUGAUGGCCACGAAAAGAGAUAUUGCGCAGGGCUUCCAAAAGCGACCGAAGGAAGAAGUACAGGAGUUUUGGGAGGAGAUUGCAAGGAAUUUAAAUACACUUGGCCCACCAACAAAAGAUUCCAAUACAUGGAGGUCUGGAUUGACUGAAAAUGCUACAUGAAGCGAAAAUUAUCGCAUAACAAAAAAUAAAGGAUGAGCACCGGUGGAGGUCCUUGCCGUUUACAACACAUAAGCCCACUUGAUGAAAAGGUGAUAGCUUUGACGGGUUUGGAAACGGAUGAUAUCCCUUCAACCAGUAGAGCUAGCAGCCAAAAUAGAGAGGCGAGAGCAAACAAGCAGAGCACUUCUUCAUUACUUAAGCAACAGAUACAAAUCAAAAAGAAUUUUAUGCAGAGACGAAAAAAUUCAAUGAAGCUGCCUUUGGUAAAAUGGAAGAAGUUACUUCAUAUUUACGGCACAUGAAUUGUUCUCUAGAAACUUUGGCGGAGACUGCAGUGAAGCAACUUGAAGAACAGAAGCGACACAAUAGAAUUAAGGAAGAGCUGGUGAAGGAAAAAGUAGAAAUAAAAAUGCAAAUGCUAAGAUUAGAUCCAAAUUAUAAGCCGGAUUCAAAAUAGUCAUUUUUUAAUUGUUAGCCUUUUAUUUAUUUUACUAUUAUUCAUUUAUAUAACGAGCAGUGAAACGAAAUAAAAGCAUUUACUUUUUUAAUAUAGGAGCUGUAAAAUGCACUGAA